rnacentral:rRNA from 1 species
UUUUAUUAUUAGUAUAGAUUACAAUUGGGGACUACGAGCAAUUGCUUAAAAACCCAAGAAUUUGGCGGUGUCUUAUUCUAUCAGGGGAUUCUGUCUCGUAAUCGACAACCCACGAAGUAAAUUACCUGUUCUAGAUAUACUAAAGCUUGUGUACUGCCGUCUAUAUAGGCCCUUAAAGGUACCUAUAAGUAUAUGAAAGAAAUAUUACGACAGGUCAAAGUGCAGCUAAUGGAUAGGAGAAGAUGGAUUACAUACUAUAACAUAGUCUAAACUUAUAUUAACAUAUAAAAUUUAAGAAGAAUUUGAUAGUAAUGGGAUUUAUAAUAAUUUCAUGAAUAAGAACUUAAGACAAGC